rnacentral:ncRNA from 2 species
GCACAUCCUUUUGUGUAGGUUAGACCAUCUCUGGAUUACUUCUAAUACCUAAUAGAAGUUGAUCCAGUCCCCUGUGACAACCCCCCUUGGGCUGAUCAUGUUGAAGACAACUUCAGAAGAGCUGGCUUGUCCCCGUGAGGACCUCAGUGUGGCUCGGAAGGAGGAGUUGCGGAAGCUGCUACUGGACCAGGUGCAGACAGUGCUUGGGCUACUGACAGGUAUCUUGGAGACUGUCUGGGACAAACACAGUGUUACUGCUGCCACUCCACCACCAUCCCCGACCUCAGGAGAAAGUGGUGACUUACUGAGUAACCUGUUGCAGAGUCCCAGUUCAGCCAAACUGUUGAAUCAGCCAAUUCCCAUCCUUGAUGUGGAGAGUGAGUAUAUCUGUUCCCUGGCUUUGGAGUGCCUGGCCCAUCUCUUCAGUUGGAUUCCUCUGUCUGCCAGCAUCACCCCAUCCCUCCUUACCACCAUCUUCCACUUUGCACGAUUUGGCUGUGACAUCCGGG